GGAGGGGUGGCAGAGUGGUUGAAUGCACCGGUCUUGAAAACCGGCAGGGAUUCACGUCCCUCGU
rnacentral:tRNA from 1 species